GGCACAGAGAUGCAACCGCUGCAGCUCCAAGCAUAGACGCUCAUUAUGCACACACGCAUCCAGACAAAACAGCUGGGACUGAGUUCACGCGCAGCAACACUGUGCUUUUCACAGUUUGUGUUGCAUCAGUUGUUUUAAUAAUAAUAAUAGGCAUUUUAGCACAUUAAUGUAAAUAAUGUAUUUUAAAUAUAGCCUAAAUUCUCCCAUAUUAUCAUGUCGUGUGCAGCAACUUGGCUUUAACCGCCCGACAGAUGAGCCUGGAACCUGACUGUCAGAAUGAAUGGAUUGGACUCCGUCUCCAAAGGCCCUCAUCUGGGUAUAGAACGGUCACAUGCAGCGUGUCGGGGCAACAAGUAGCGGAGGAGCAGGGGGUCGGAAUGCGCAGAGCAGGCGGAGGAGAAGGAGGAAGUCCUGUGCAACGGAAUCGAGCUCGUUUCCAAAGAAAGGAGCGUCGGGAGAGGAGGAAGAAGACGGCCGAAGGCAGUGUCGUCUUCGUUGGGGUGUGACGUGCUGAUAGCGCGUUCCACCCAGACUGUGCGCCUGGAGGAGUGCAUCGCUUUGACAUCAGCUAAUGCUAAUGAACCCCGGAGCUUCGAUGCUAAAAUAAUAACGGUCUGGUCGAGACAGACGGACGCUCGCCCUCAGUCUGGUCCUGCUGGAACUUCUUCCCCUCUGCUCCUCUCUGCUACUUGUUUACUCAAGUGGGACUUGUUGGCUUCUCUCCUUCACCCUCAGAUUUCUUUUUCGCCUUCAACCUCAAUAGUUCAUUUCACGCAGCUCCCUCUGCAGCCACAGACACACCUUAAUGUAUGAAUCACUUCCCCUCGAAGACUAUGACAUCGACAGGCAACACCAUAAAACAUCGUCACCUGCGCUGCUUAAGCAAAUAUCUGAAUUGUCCCACAUCUGCCUUGUCUUAUCAAGGCCUGGCUGUGACUUUUUGCAUUGUUAACACACCUUAUUCGUCUUCUUAAGUCCGUUCGGAGCUUCCGAAUUCAAUGCAUGAGAGCAGCAGGGGGAGCGAGAGGCAGGUAGCGGGGGGCGGAUGGAUGGGUGGUGAGUCAGAGGGGAGGCUGAGGCAGACGGGAGUGAGGGAGAAGUGCUGAUGAAUGGGCUGAUGGCACACUGACCCACUAAUGGUGCAGCUGCAUUGCCAGUGGCUGUGCCCAGCCUGGCGAGGCCCACACAGACACACACACAGAGCCACGCACACCCACACACCCGAGCUAAUCAACCCCUCCACCGACUGCCCUCGCGAAGGUCUUUCAGACAGAAGGUUCUAGUGCAAUUGCACUGUGCACACAGUCGCACUGCUGCCGCCGAGCUACGCGCAGAAACCACACACUGGCACACUUCUGCUAAUCUGUGUCUACUGUUAAAGGUCAUAAAAUGGAGGAAGCAGCGCAGGAAACAUACAAUGUUUCACAACCGUUGCCCCCCACUGAGUUUCUAAAUCUGUCAAAUGUAUUUUUGCGUUAACGCCUAAUUUGUUUCAGACUGCAGCUUUUUCUGUUGACAGUGUGGGCGCGAGUGGAACUUCAGUUCAAAUCAUCAUGUGAUGUUUUCAAGUCAUGUUUAAAGGUCUUUAUCCUGUUAUCGCCCCACAGUGUAGAUCACUUUAACGCCAAUAAAGUUUAAUUACUUUA